GUUCAAGUGUUCAAUUUUAAGAACCUUCUUCAAUUGGUCUGCACUAAAAAACUAAUGUAAACGAUAAAUAUCUAUAUUAUCAACAAACUUGAUAUAAUAAUAUUAAACAGAACUUUCAAUACUUUUAAAUAAUCAAACAGUGCCUAAGUCGUAAAUCUACUACUAACCGUUUAUUGAAAUAAUCACCGCCUCCCUACUAACCUCAUAUGGACGAGAUCGCUUUUAACCAAUGAUAUUCCCUAGAAAUGUAUAGGAGGUAAGAUAAAUAUAUAAAUAUAUAUAUCUGUUCUCUACAGUUCAUUCAUCCGGUUUUCUCUUUCAAAAUACAUAAAGGUAAUGUUUAUUGUAUGUUCUUUAGUCAAAUGUUGUUCUUUAAAGAAU
rnacentral:lncRNA from 1 species